UACGUAGGGGGCUAGCGUUGUCCGGAUUUAUUGGGCGUAAAGAGCGUGUAGGCGGCCAUGUAGGUCCGGUGUGAAAACUCGAGGCUUAACCUCGAGAUGUCAUCGGAAACCAUUUGGCUAGAGUCCGGAAGAGGAGAGUGGAAUUCCUGGUGUAGCGGUGAAAUGCGCAGAUAUCAGGAAGAACACCAAUGGCGAAAGCAGCUCUCUGGGACGGUACUGACGCUGAGACGUGAAAGCGUGGGGAGCGAACAGG
rnacentral:rRNA from 1 species